UGGCAAUGAUGAAAAAAAGGCCGGACUUACGGCUGAAGUUAAAAGAAAAGAAAAGUCAAUUAUGGAGGGCCCU